rnacentral:rRNA from 1 species
GAUGAACGCUGGCGGCGUGCUUAACACAUGCAAGUCGAACGAAGCAAUUUAUUACGAUCCCUUCGGGGUGACGAGUUAUUGACUGAGUGGCGGACGGGUGAGUAACGCGUGGGUAACCUGCCUUGUACAGGGGGACAACAGUUGGAAACGACUGCUAAUACCGCAUAAGCGCACAGCUUCGCAUGAAGCAGUGUGAAAAGUUUUUUCGGUACAAGAUGGACCCGCGUCUGAUUAGCUAGUUGGUGAGGUAACGGCCCACCAAGGCGACGAUCAGUAGCCGACCUGAGAGGGUGACCGGCCACAUUGGGACUGAGACACGGCCCAAACUCCUACGGGAGGCAGCAGUGGGGAAUAUUGCACAAUGGGCGCAAGCCUGAUGCAGCGACGCCGCGUGAGCGAAGAAGUAUUUCGGUAUGUAAAGCUCUCAUCAGCAGGGAAGAUAAUGACG